CUAUACAUGACUCUGCGUAUAUCAAUAAGCGGAGGAAAAGAAACUAACAAGGAUUCCCUCAGUAACGGCGAGUGAAGCGGGAAGAGCUCAAAUCUGAAAUCUUGAAAGGUCACCUUUCACGAAUUGUAGUUUAAAGAAGUGUUUUCUGUUACGAUCGUAAUAUAAGUUCUUUGGAAUAGGACAUCACAGAGGGUGAGAAUCCCGUCUAUGAUUGCGAUUUGUAGCUUUGUGAUACACUUUCAAAGAGUCGGGUUGUUUGGGAAUGCAGCCCAAAACGGGAGGUAAAUUUCUUCUAAGGCUAAAUAUUGGCGAGAGACCGAUAGCGAACAAGUACCGUGAGGGAAAGAUGAGAAGAACUUUGAAAAGAGAGUUAAAUAGUACGUGAAAUUGUCAAAAGGGAAGCGUUUAACACCAGUGUUGUUUUCUGAAAAUCAACCUCUGUUAGCUUUAUGCAUGUUUGUUUAGACCUAAUCAGCUAUCUUGCAUGUUCUAUUGUUUGCAGUGGUGCACUUUUCAGUUUACAGGUCAACAUCAGUUUUUUUUUACCGUAAAAAAGGUUAAAGAAAGGUAGCUCAUGGCUCCGGUCGUGAGUGUUAUAGUCUUUUUCCUAUGCGGUAGGAGAGGACUGAGGUCUGCAGUGUAGGCUAUUUGGCUAGAUACUCAGGUGCUAUGUGAUACCAUUUCAUAAACAACUUGUUGAUUAUGUUUUGUCUAUUGCAUACUCGCUUGUACUAUCAUACCUACGCUUAGGAUGUUGAGUCGUAGAGCACGCAG
rnacentral:rRNA from 1 species